rnacentral:tRNA from 1 species
GGGAAGGUGGCUCAGUGGUAGAGUGCUUGCCUUGCAUGCAUGAGGCCCUGGGUUCGAU